UACGAAGGGGGGCUAGCGUUGCUCGGAAUCACUGGGCGUAAAGCGCACGUAGGCGGAUCUUUAAGUCAGAGGUGAAAUCCCAAGGCUCAACCUUGGAACUGCCUUUGAUACUGGGGGAUCUCGAGUCCGGAAGAGGUGAGUGGAACUGCGAGUGUAGAGGUGAAAUUCGUAGAUAUUCGCAAGAACACCAGUGGCGAAGGCGGCUCACUGGUCCGGUACUGACGCUGAGGUGCGAAAGCGUGGGGAGCAAACAGG
rnacentral:rRNA from 1 species